rnacentral:misc_RNA from 1 species
UCUCCGUUGGUGAACCAGCGGAGGGAUCAUUACAGAGUUUUCACAGCUCCCAACCCUUUGUAACCGUACCCGUUCCGGUCUCGUUGCUUCCGGCCGGGGGGGCGGGGGGGCCCGAAACGGCCUCCCCGCCCCGCCCGCCGGCGGCGGCGGGCCCUACGACCCUUUAUAUAUCAACCACCAAAAAACGUCUCAAAAACCGAACCAAAUACUCAAAACUUUCAACAACAGGUCUCUUUGCUCUAGCAUCCAUGACGAAACCCCCAGCUCGUAAGAGCACCC